CGCCCGUCGCUCCUACCGAUUGGGUGCGCUGGUGAGAUGUCGGGAUUAGUGGCUGUGGGCGGUUCGCCGCCCUCUGCCGCUGAGAACUUCAUCAAACCCUCCCACCUAGAGGAAGGAGAAGUCGUAACAAGGUUCCU
rnacentral:rRNA from 1 species